UGCCUUAAUUGGAGAAGUUAGGCAUUCACUAAUUAUGAAUGCAAGAGGCCGGUUAAAGUAGUUUAACAUUUAAUAUAAUAGUGUAGCCUAGAUUAUUUUACAUUUAUGCAAUGAAAAACUAGGUUCAUUUUAGGUUCACAUCUUAUUAAUUAAUUGUAAUAAAUAUGCAUUCAAAUUCACCCUUUGUUUUAGUAAUGAACCUAUUUGAAUAAUUAGAGUUCACUCCUCAACACAAAAUUCCUACUCCAAGAAUCUCAAACUCUUUGUAAACUUGUUCGAUUCUUUUAGCGAGUUGAAAGACUCUUAUAAUUUUUUGUGGAGUCGAAAAAUGGCUACCAUUGCUUGUGCAUCUUCAACUAUUUUGAUCUUCAAUAAUAGUAAAGAAUCAAGAAACGGGCGUUCGUUCUUUCAAGUCGGCUCAGCUGGUUUCGAGUCUAAGGGGUUCAUUCCAUUUUCAGCAAAAUGUCGAAAAAUUAAGGCCAUGGCUCCUCCGACAGUUUCUGCACCGAAGAGAGAAACGGAUCCAAAGAAAAGAGUCGUCAUAACCGGAAUGGGACUUGUUUCGGUUUUUGGAAGCGAUGUCGAUGCAUAUUACAAUCAACUCCUUGAUGGUGUAAGUGGAAUCACUCCAAUAGAUAGAUUUGAUGUUUCAGAUUAUUCUGUUAGGUUCGCAGGGCAAAUCCGUAAUUUCUCCUCCGAGGGAUACAUUGAUGGGAAAAGCGAUCGCCGCCUAGAUGACUGCUGGAGAUAUUGCUUGGUUGCUGGCCUAAAAGCCCUCGAUGAUGCUAGCCUUGGGAAACGAGUGCUCGAUAAUAUGGACAAGACCAGAAUGGGGGUGUUGGUAGGGUCGGCCAUGGGAGGCGUUACAGCUUUUAGCGGCGGAAUCGAAGCCCUAGUUCGAAAGGGACACAAAAAAGUAUCUCCGUUCUUCAUUCCUUACUCAAUCACCAACAUGGGGUCCGCAUUGCUUGCUAUAGAAACGGGCUUUAUGGGGCCCGUUUACUCCAUCUCAACGGCUUGUGCCACCGCAAACCACUGCCUAUGUGCCGCCGCAAAUCACAUCAGAAGAGGCGAUGCUGAUGUCAUGGUUGCUGGUGGGGCCGAAUCCGGCGUUAAUCCAGUUGGCGUUGGAGGUUUUAUAGCUUGCAGAGCGUUGUCUCAAAGAAACGAUGAACCGCAUAAGGCGUCUAGGCCGUGGGACAAGAACCGUGAUGGUUUUGUUAUCGGUGAAGGCGCCGGUGUACUAAUCAUGGAAAGUUUGGAGCAUGCAAUGAAGAGAGGAGCCAAAAUAGUUGCCGAAUUCUUGGGAGGUGCCGCCACUUGUGACGCUCAUCAUUUGACAACUCCUCGUUUAGACGGGCUCGGUGUUUCGUCUUGCAUAAUCAAGGCCUUGUAUGAUGCAGGAGUGUCCCCUGAAGAGGUUAAUUAUGUAAAUGCUCAUGCAACAUCUACACCUGCUGGAGAUUUGGCUGAAAUCAAUGCCAUCAAGAACGUCUUCAAAAAUACCUCUGAGAUAAAAAUGAAUGGCACCAAGUCGAUGACUGGGCAUGGGCUCGGAGCUGCCGGGGGAUUGGAAGCGAUAGCAACCAUUAAAGCAAUCAACACCGGCUGGUUACAUCCAACAAUCAACCAAUAUGAUUUGGAGCCAGCUGUGACUAUCGACACUGUCCCGAAUGUAAAGAAACAACAUCAAGUAAAUGUUGCCAUAUCUAACUCGUUUGGCUUCGGCGGGCAUAAUUCAGUUGUCGUCUUUGCACCCUUCAAGCCUUAAAUGAUUCGGUCAUACGAUUUCAAGGAAAGUGCACUUGCGUGAUGGUAUUUUCUUGAUAGAAGCGUCGAGAAUUCUAGAGCCCACCAUUAUGCAAGGUACCUGUGCCUCCGGAUCCAAACAUCCCCGUUGUUUUUCUGCGUUUUAUCGUCUUCUCCGACGAUGGGGGCGAUUAGGGCUUUGGCGGUGGUGGCGAUUAGAACUUUGACUGGAGUUUAGUAAUUUGCAAAAGAAGAUUCGGCUGGUGUGGAACUGUCAAGGAGAAGUUGGUAGUGGAGAAGACGAGAUGAGCAGAGGAGGCGGGUGGUGGAAGGAAAGGCGGCGGCGGUGUGAAUGAUUGCCGGAGGUGGUGUUCUGAGUUUG